rnacentral:rRNA from 1 species
AACGAACGCUGGCGGCAGGCUUAACACAUGCAAGUCGAACGCACCUUUCGGGGUGAGUGGCAGACGGGUGAGUAACGCGUGGGAAUCUACCCUUCUCUACGGGAUAGCUCCGGGAAACUGGAAUUAAUACCGUAUACGUCCUGAGGGAGAAAGAUUUAUCGGGGAAGGAUGAGCCCGCGUUGGAUUAGCUAGUUGGUGGGGUAAAGGCCUACCAAGGCGACGAUCCAUAGCUGGUCUAAGAGGAUGAUCAGCCACAUUGGGACUGAGACACGGCCCAAACUCCGGCGGGAGGCGGCAGGGGGGAAUAUGCGACAAAGGGCGGAAGCCGGAUGCAGAAAUACGGCGUGGGUUAAGAAGGCGUUCGGGUGGGAAAGAAAUUUGGUGGGGAAAGAAAAGCAGCCGCGUAAUACCCCGCGGUACGGACGGUAGAAAAAGAAUAAGCGCCGGCUAACUUCGUG